rnacentral:rRNA from 1 species
GACAGAGGGUGCAAACGUUGUUCGGAAUUACUGGGCGUAAAGCGCGUGUAGGCGGCUCGGAAAGUCGGGUGUGAAAGCCCUGGGCUCAACCUAGGAAGUGCACUCGAAACUUCCGAGCUGGAGUUCUGGAGAGGAAGGCGGAAUUCUCGGUGUAGAGGUGAAAUUCGUAGAUAUCGCGAGGAACACCGGUGGCGAAGGCGGCCUUCUGGACAGCAACUGACGCUGAGACGCGAAAGCGUGGGGAGCAAACAGG